rnacentral:rRNA from 1 species
UGCCAGCAGCCGCGGUAAUACGGAGGGGGUUAGCGUUGUUCGGAAUUACUGGGCGUAAAGCGCACGUAGGCGGACUGGAAAGUUGGGGGUGAAAUCCCAGGGCUCAACCCUGGAACUGCCUCCAAAACUCCUAGUCUAGAGUUCGAGAGAGGUGAGUGGAAUUCCGAGUGUAGAGGUGAAAUUCGUAGAUAUUCGGAGGAACACCAGUGGCGAAGGCGGCUCACUGGGCCGAUAUUGACGCUGAGGCGCGAAGGCGUGGGUAGCGAACGGGAUUAGAUA